CCAGCAGCCGCGGUAAUACGAGGGUGCGAGCGUUAAUCGGAUUUACUGGGCGUAAAGCGUGCGUAGGCGGCUUAUUAAGUCGGAUGUGAAAUCCCCGACCCUUACAAGGGAAUUGCAUUCGAUACUGGUGAGCUAGAGUAUGCCUGAAGAUGGUAGAAUUCCAGGUGUAGCGGUGAAAUGCGUAGAGAUCUGGAGGAAUACCGAUGGCGAAGGCAGCCAUCUGGCCUAAUACUGACGCUGAGGUACGAAAGCAUGGGGAGCAAACAGGAUUAGAUACCCUGGGUA
rnacentral:rRNA from 1 species